GACAGAGGUGCCGAGCGUUAGGCGGAAUCACUGGGCUUAAAGCGUGUGUAGGCGGACUUCUAAGUACCUUGUGAAAUCCCACGGCUCAACCGUGGAACUGCUCGGUAUACUGGUUGUCUUGAGCCACUUAGGGGCAGUCGGAACAGACGGUGGAGCGGUGAAAUGCGUAGAUAUCUGGAGGAACACCGGUGGCGAAGGCGGCAUCCUGGACCGACACUGACGCUGAGGAGCGAAAGCCAGGGGAGCAAACGGG
rnacentral:rRNA from 1 species